CAUAGCGUCUCCUCUUUGAAAGGGAGUCAGCUUUGGACGGACCUGAGUCCUGAGAAGGGGGUUCUGGACAGAAGGCUGGAGUGCAGACCAUCCGAGGAGGGCUCGGCCUCCACGGUGUAGAGGUAGACCCUUGUCAGUCUCUUUACCUCCCUCUGCAUAACAGCCCAACCACACAAGCAGCUUAACAAGUGCAUGGAAUGAAAUGGGCGAUGAAAGGAUACUCAGGAUGAAGCAAUCAGGAUCUUAUCUGAAGCUCAGAAAGUAACUGAAAUCCGGUGCUGCUCAAGGGCUUCCCGUGGGUAUCCCUAAAAUAAGAAACACUUCUUCCCUCUUCUCACACUCACACCAACACUUCUGACACCAAAUGUGC